rnacentral:misc_RNA from 1 species
UUUUAGAAACAUCAGUGGCCAACAGAUCGCCAGAUCGUUGAGCUGCAUUGGCGGGAUUUCGCCGUCUUCGUUUCUCUUUCUUCGCGGACGAACACGCGCUGGGCCUGCAACGGCAGGAUCCAGGGUCCUUAACGGGAUGUGCGUUAGGGGCUUGUAGCUCAGUUGGUUAGAGCGCGCGCUUGAUAAGCGUGAGGUCGGAAGUUCAAGUCUUCCCAGGCCCACCACUUUCAUCGAGUGAGCAUUCGUCUUCUGGUUACGGGGCCAUAGCUCAGCUGGGAGAGCGCGUGCUUUGCAAGCAUGAGGUCGUCGGUUCGAUCCCGUCUGGCUCCACCAGAUGGUUUGAUCACCGAGAUCUUGACCGUCGUCCGCGAAACAUCACUUCGCAUCCUGCUAGUCUGGAUAGACAGCAGUUUGCGUGUUUUCUGACAUCGUAAAGAGGAGAUCGAUCCGAGUUGGGUCGUGCAGCAUAUCGUUGCGCGAGCCUUCAUUAUCUCCGGAUCAUUUCGGCGCUCGCUUCCAGCCGUGAGGUUGGAUGCGGGUUGUAAAUGAUCCUUUUAGCGAAGCUUGACCGCCUCGCUAUCGGAACGAUCUUACGAAGCAAGCUGGUCUUUCUAGUCAAUGUCCGGCUGCGGAUAGCGUUCAUCGAGGGCGCGUGCCGCAAGGCAAUUCUGCAGACAACAUUCUGCCGAGUGUGUGGACAUUGAUAAUGAGAGCAAUCAAGUGCCUUAAGGGUGUUCGGUGGAUGCCUUGGCGCUGAGAGGCGAUGAAGGACGUGCUACGCUGCGAUAA